UACGUAGGGGGCGAGCGUUGUCCGGAUUCAUUGGGCGUAAAGCGCUUAAGGCGGUUCGCUAAGUCUGCUGUGAAAUCCCCGGGCUCAACCUGGGAAUGGCAGUGGAUACUGGCAAGCUAGAGUACGGUAGAGGGGGAUGGAAUUCCGCGUGUAGCAGUGAAAUGCGUAGAUAUGCGGAGGAACACCGAUGGCGAAGGCAAUCCCCUGGACCUGUACUGACGCUCAUGCACGA
rnacentral:rRNA from 1 species